ACCGGAGACGGAGGAGUGCUUUUAUUAGAUCAAAACCAAUCGGUGGCGGGUUCGCUCGUCAUCGUACAACUUGGUGACUCUGAAUAACUUUAUGCUGAUCGCACGGUCUCGCACCGGCGACGCAUCUUUCAAAUGUCUGCCUUAUCAACUGUCGAUGGUAGGUUCUGCGCCUACCAUGGUUGUAACGGGUAACGGGGAAUCAGGGUUCGAUUCCGGAGAGGGAGCCUGAGAAACGGCUACCACAUCCAAGGAAGGCAGCAGGCGCGCAAAUUACCCACUCCCGGCACGGGGAGGUAGUGACGAAAAAUAACGAUACGGGACUCAUCCGAGGCCCCGUAAUCGGAAUGAGUACACUCUAAACCCUUUAACGAGGAUCAAUUGGAGGGCAAGUCUGGUGCCAGCAGCCGCGGUAAUUCCAGCUCCAAUAGCGUAUAUUAAAGUUGUUGCGGUUAAAAAGCUCGUAGUCGAAUCUGUGUCUUGCGCCGCCGGUUCAUCGUUCGCGGUGUUAACUGGCGUGUCGCAGGACGUCCUGCCGGUGGGCUUAGCUCGCAAGGGCGGCCCAACUCAAUCCUGCCGCGGUGCUCUUCACUGAGUGUCGAGGUGGGCCGGCACGUUUACUUUGAACAAAUUAGAGUGCUUAAAGCAGGCUAAAACUUCGCCUGAAUACUGUGUGCAUGGAAUAAUGGAAUAGGACCUCGGUUCUAUUUUGUUGGUUUUCGGAACCCCGAGGUAAUGAUUAAUAGGAACGGAUGGGGGCAUUCGUAUUGCGACGUUAGAGGUGAAAUUCUUGGAUCGUCGCAAGACGGACAGAAGCGAAAGCAUUUGCCAAAAACGCUUUCAUUGAUCAAGAACGAAAGUUAGAGGUUCGAAGGCGAUCAGAUACCGCCCUAGUUCUAACCAUAAACGAUGCCAGCUAGCGAUCCGUCGACGUUCCUCCGAUGACUCGACGGGCAGCUUCCGGGAAACCAAAGCUUUUGGGUUCCGGGGGAAGUAUGGUUGCAAAGCUGAAACUUAAAGGAAUUGACGGAAGGGCACCACCAGGAGUGGAGCCUGCGGCUUAAUUUGACUCAACACGGGAAACCUCACCAGGCCCGGACACCGGAAGGAUUGACAGAUUGAGAGCUCUUUCUUGAUUCGGUGGGUGGUGGUGCAUGGCCGUUCUUAGUUGGUGGAGCGAUUUGUCUGGUUAAUUCCGAUAACGAACGAGACUCUAGCCUGCUAACUAGGCGUAUUUUGACAUCGCAAAGGCCCGCCGGUAUCGGGGUUCGCUCCUUUAUCGUGCGCGGUUUUUACUGUCGGCGUACAAACAAUUCUUCUUAGAGGGACAGGCGGCUUCUAGCCGCACGAGAUUGAGCAAUAACAGGUCUGUGAUGCCCUUAGAUGUUCUGGGCCGCACGCGCGCUACACUGAAGGAAUCAGCGUGUCCUCCCUGGCCGAGUGGCCCG
rnacentral:rRNA from 1 species